rnacentral:lncRNA from 1 species
UUAUUUAUUUAUUUUAUAUAACUCCAACUUUGUAUAUGUUUUUUAAACUUCAAUGCCGGAUUUCAUGCAAACAUGAAGGCUGCUAGCUCAGGUGAAAUAAUGGCGACAGCAGUUAAUUGGCAUGAGCAUAUACCUGACCCAUUCGCGGCGGAAGCCAUUGCAGGCUUGGAAGCUGGGAGAGUUGCGGCGGAGUUGGGUUUUCGGAAUGUGAUGCUUGAAGGAGAUUCUCUUACGGUUGUCAAGAAGAUUACAUGCCAAGUUGCAGACAGAUCGGUGGUGAGUGCAUAUAUAUGGGAUGCAAAACAGAUAGCAAGGGAAGAAAGUAGCACAUUUGCUUGCAAAAGAAGAUUUACCUAUUGGGUUGAGGAAGCUCCAUCAGAAGUAGAAGAGACUGCACAGUGCUCUA